GCACUAAUGAGGAGUCCUACAAUAGGACGAAACGACCGUCUAGUUC
rfam:Schistosoma curassoni strain Dakar, Senegal genome assembly, scaffold: SCTD_scaffold0011575